UUUCUGGAAAACAUAGAAUGGAGAAACACAUUAUUAAUAACACACUAUUGUCAUGACCCCUAUAAGCUUUAUGUUUCGAUUCGUACUAUUAACUUCCAGUACGUUGUGGGCUUCAUGUACAUCAUUAGUUGUGUAUAAACAUCAUUUUUAUUUAUUCUUACGACAACAAUUGUACAUCCUGCCCUGCCACCAAUUCACAUUAAUCAAUUAACGUAUGGAUCGAAACAACACAAUUGCAACUUCUUGAAGCCGCCCCCCAGCUCAACCAUGCUACUGGGUUAGAUGCUAUUCUUGCUGCCCCCUAUUGUUUCAAGAGAUUUCAACUUAAAUGCAUAAUUAUUAGUGAAGAAUCGUCAUUAGUGAAUAGUCAAUAAAGAAAUGUUCAUCAUUAAUCCAACGCAGGCGCAUGAUGCACGUUUCACAUUAGGUUCUUUUUAAAGUGUCAACGUGAACGUAAAGAAAGUUCACACUUGCCAUGGGGUAGGAAUAGAUUGCUGUUUUAAGAGAUAGUGUCACUCUUAAAAGCUCUUGUGAAACAUCGUUGGCAUAGGGAGUGCAAUUUUGCGUUAUCUUUAACCACCUGGUAGCACAGCUAGCCGAGAUGGAUGAGCACGGGCGCACGAUGGGUACGUACUUCAUGCCGGCUCUUCAACGGUUCACUGCUCAAAAAGGGGAGAUCUGUGUGCUGCGAGCUGUUUCUUACCAGCCGCCGUGGUUUCACAUUGGCGUUGUUCCAAAAUAGCCGCCAGCAUUUUACUGCGAAACGUGCCCGAUGAUCACAGUUCACCCAUUCGCUCUGAACUCAUCGUAGCAGCAACUGGAGAGCACGAACAUACGCACACUAAUGCUGUUCUCUUUCUUAGAAAACCGAAAAAGAUUCCUUUCGAACUCUUCCGCGUGAAAAAAAAUAAAAUGAUGCUCUACUAACGCACACAUGGGCAAGCAUCUCGGAUUAUUAGCCGCCAGAAGAGAAAAAAAACCGCUAUCGAGGAGAAACACGCACACAAGGACAAAACGCUGUAGUUAUGCACACCGGCGUUGCUGAACGCCCAACAGUCUUAUCCAAACGAAUGAGGAGAGAAACGCCGCCUCUCUCUCUCUUUCAUUCUCACUGGCUCAAUGUCCGGUUGUGCCAACCCAGAGAUGCCUACCAUUCGUUCUUCUAACCGAAAAUGUAAGGUUAGGAAACAUCUAUAAAAAUUGCAUGCUUGCAUUCGCAGAACAGAUAUGGGAGUAUUUUCAGUUAGAAUGGCCUGCGUUAGAAUUGCUACCAGCAGCACUGACUGUACAGAAUAACCAUACCACAGAAUCGUCAACUUAAAAAAAUGAUAAAAUUACAGGUGCUGUUAAACCAUGCUUGCAGCAUCUGGGGCUUGCUUUGAUUGAAAUUAUUUAAAUAUGUAUAGUAAAGUAAUGACUACACUGGGAUCGUCAUUAGGUCAAGUGAUUGACUGCGACCCGCGUUUUACGAUAUGUGCGAUAUAAUAUGCAAACAAUUGGAUGAACCUGCUCCAAUGGCAUGAAUGCUUCAUAAAAGCCAUAAUACAAAAAGUAAACCUGGGAAUCUGAAGGAUCAAAUGAAUAACCACAUGUGUGUGUAGUUACCAACCUCACGCGACUCUGUUACGCAAUCCUAUGUUAGAAAAAAAAACACAUUCCUAACCAGACACAAGGAGAGAGCGCUCGGAAAACCUGCCUGUUACACUUUACUUUAGUAGUCGGGUUUGAUUGAUUCUUAGUGGUGUUAAGUUACCAGUAUUAUAAUAUUAAUACAUGUCCCUCUGUCAGAUCAAUUUCAGUCCUUUCAAGAAAGCUCUAUUUUCAUUAAUUGCGUUACACCGAAUAAUGCGAGCAAAAUAAUAAAUAUCCUGAAUGUGUUUCUGGAAUCAACAUUGAAAAUCUUCGUUUUUGAAGCACAACCAUUGCAAUCUUUCGCAUGCAAUCAUUCGCAAAUAUUGAACCUCAGGAGCAAUCGACAUAAAAUAAAAUCAUUUCAUUCAUCCUUAUCUUCAUUCUAGAUAACUUUUAAUUAAUAUACGUUCCAGUACAUACACCCAAUCACAUUGAUAACACUGAGCUGUUUUUAUAUUUGAUGAUUAAAUAUGCCCAGAGUCCAAGCAAAACAGUAUUGCAUUGCUCAGGCGCUACAGAUUAGGUGCAAAUGAUAAAUGAACCAAUAGCAAUAGCAAUUGCAAUCAGUUUUAAAAUAUAUCCUAAUAUAACAUUUAUUCAAUAUGUAUGUAACAUGUAGAAUCAGUACGACCUUCAGCAUUAGAACCAGUGUCCGGUGUACGUCAAAUUAACAUCAAUUUGAACGUUUUUCAACGUAGCGGUGGAAAAUAUCUAUCGAACCUCCUCGUGCACCAAUGCUUCAUCAAUAUGUUGUGUUCCCCAUGCAUAACAACAUUGGAACAGAGGUGUUCCUCUCUCAGCCACUUCCCUUACCCUUUCCAAACCCUUCUUUCCCCAUUAUGUUCAGAGACCUUUGUGUAGUUUUUCACAAAAUAAGCUGUAUUGAGUGUUCGCAACAGUGGGGAAGCCUAUAUUAUUGGCACACUCACAAACGGUCAGCAACGAACACCAAGUUCUAAAAUAAAUUCCAAAGGGUGUCCCCACAUGAAACCGAACGAAUAAAAAGCUUGAUGAACUGGUCACGCGGAACGAACCCAACAGGCACAUCCUAUAUAACGCAGACAGAAACCCCUUCUAACUAGAACAUUGUGUAUUUGGUCACAAAUUCAUCAUUCUCUCGCUCUCUGCUGCUCCCUCCGACCGACUCACGUCACGACAAGCCCCAAAACGUACGUUUUAGUUAUAUGAAAAACAUCUCUGUAAUUUACCAUACUCGUCGUUGUAGCGUUAUAGUAUCGAUCUAUACCGACUUAUAGACCAAUUUAUCACGGUUACCUACUUUACUACUGCCCAGUGGGCCAAACCCCCACGUUUUUCUGAGUUCAGGGAGUUUAGUUUAUGCUCCUAUUUUAGUAUGGAUCUCGCCUUUUUCAUCAUUCACGGAAUCAACCCUUUAUUUCAUUAGAGAGUUAGAUUGGAUACAUAUCAUACUCGCAGAAAGUAUCCUUCCUACCGUCCUUUAUAAAUCACAAAACAGCUCAAUUCAUAUCAAUCGAUCAAUACCAAAUUUAAUGAAACU